UGAAGAAUAUUGGGCAAUGGGCGAAAGCCUGACCCAGCAACGCCGCGUGAAUGAAGAAGGUCUUCGGAUUGUAAACUUCUGUCCCAUGGGAAGAAAAAAAUGACGGUACCAUGGGAGGAAGCCCCGGCUAACUACGUGCCAGCAGCCGCGGUAAUACGUAGGGGGCAAGCGUUGUCCGGAAUUAUUGUGCGUAAAGGGUGCGUAGGCGGCCUUUCAAGUUGGAUGUGAAAUCCCCAUGCUUAACAUGGGAAUUGCAUUCAAAACUGGAGGGCUUGAGUGUGGAAGAGGUAAGUGGAAUUCCCAGUGUAGCGGUGAAAUGCGUAGAUAUUGGGAGGAACACCAGUGGCGAAGGUGACUUACUGGGCCACAACUGACGCUGAUGCACGAAAGCGUGGGGAGCGAACAGG
rnacentral:rRNA from 2 species